CCCUCAAGACUGCUGAGCCUGCCAGUUGCACAGAGCUGUGUCCAGAGGUUUUCUGAGCACAGUGGAUUUACAGCGAAAUUCAGCUGCCUGGGGGA
ensembl:misc_RNA